rnacentral:misc_RNA from 1 species
UGUAUUUUCAUUAUGUACAAGUUUCUAAAUUUAUUCAAUGAUGUUAUUUUCUUUAUAAAGCUAGUUUUCUUUAUUUUCUCCUUAGAUUCUGGAUUGAAUCUUGUGUUUAUUAAAAUCUUGAAUUAGAUCUUUUUUAUUUUCAAGGGUUUGAUCGUGUGUCGAUCCUUUUUCACUUUACACACUGCAUCAGGUGGUAUUAGAGUAGGGAUUUCACCCUCAUUACGAUGGCCGAUACUAGUGGUGGUGAUGCCAAUCAACCCCGUGAUGGUGAUCAGGGGUUACCAGCUAUUUGGAGAGCAAUCGAAGAGCAGCAAAACUCUAUGACAGAAAUUAUGCGACCAUUGCAAGAGAUCCAAGAGCAAUUGCGCACUAGGGUGAAUGUUCGUGAAAAUAGGAAUCAAAUACUUAUUCAAGCCGGUGGAUCUAACCCCGGUAGAGAUGAACUUGAACCUAUUAUCUUCAACCCUAGAAAAAGGGCUAUGAUGGAGGAUGAUACAAGCGAGGAUGAGGAGAUGGACUUCUGGUAUGUUGCACACCAAGAACAAGGAAGAGGUGGCCGAAAUUUCCAACAACACCAUAGGAAGGAUGAUGAGUUCAAAUUAAAGAUGGAUAUCCCUACCUUUAGUGGAGAUCUUGACAUUGAAGGUUUUCUUGAUUGGUUGUCCGAGGUGGACCACUUCUUCUAGUAUGCUGAAAUUCUGGAGGAACGAAAGGUAAAAUCAGCUUCGGUAUGGUGUGAUCAUUUGAAAGAGAUAGGGAGGCGAGAAGGGCAUAAUCCAAUACUACUUAGAAGAGGAUGCAACAAUUAUUAAGGGGUAGAUUUUUACCUGUAGAUUAUGAACAAUUUUUAUUUGAAACUUAACAAAAUUGCUUGUAGGGAAAUAAGAGUGCCAAUGAAUAGACCACUGAAUUCUUUAGGUUGGCAGUAAGAAAUCAUUUAUCCAAAAGUGAUCAUCAACAAGCAGCUUGAUAUUUAAGGGGAUUAAAUCCUUCAAUUCACGAUAAAAUUGGAAUUCAGAUGGCGAUGAGUGUGCAAGAUGCAAGGAACUUAGCCUUGAAAGCUAAGAUGAUGUUUCAGGAGAAAACUUGCUAAAUUUAUUAUUCCACAUAUGAUGGAGAUGACCACCAAGCUAGAACUGAAAAGGAGGAAAACUCACUAGAUGUUUCUUUGGGUGAUAAUAUGGAGAUAGCUAAGAUCACAAGUGUCAACUAUAAAGCUUGCAGUUCUAACCCUCUAAAACUAAUAACCCCUAUGUUAAGCCUACUCCAAUCAAAUGCUAUUGGUGUAAUGAGAUGGGGCAUAGUUCUAACGAAUGUCCAAAGAGGAAAUAUGUCAACAUCAUUGAAAAACAUGAUGAUGACAUUCAAAUCUAUUGUGGACCUGAUGAAGAGGAUGAAGAUAAAGAUUGUGAACAAGAUGAAUUCACUCACCUAGUAAGGAGGUCAAUGUUCACACAAAAUAUUGAAGACAAGUCAUUGAAAGACUUUGUAGAACAAGGGAAUCAUCUUGAAUUUGAAUUUGAAUUUGACACUUUUGUAGUGACUUUUGCUAUGGUAGAUGAUGAAGAGUUUAAAGAGAGUGUCAUGGAAAACGAAGAACAUCAAGCCAUAGAGAUUCCAAUGAAGAUUGAAAUUUUCUCUAAAAAUUUUCCUUGUGUUUUUAUUGAUUUUAUUUGUCCAGAUGAGUUUAAGCAUGCUAAGGAAGAUGAGAACUUGCUCAAAUCAAUUUUGUUCAAGCCAAUCUUAUUGAUAUCAUUCACGAAGAAGAUAUAAUAUGAUCUUUCAAUGGAGAUUUUGAUUUAUAAACACUUUAAAAUUUGUGGCCGAGUUUAUCUCAAGUGGAGGAGAAUGGUAUGAGAGAUAGCCAUCCCAUUAUUGUUCAGUCCAGAAAUUAACUCAAGGUCAAGUUUUUUCUUUCUUUCUUUUUUAAAGUGCGAGUGAAUAGCGCAUGCUAAGUAAAAAAGAAGUAUUUGAAGUCCCACUUACUUUAGGAUUUCUAUUAUAAUUUGGAUUCUUUAAUUCCUUUUUAGUUUUGUUUUGUUAUUUUUAGUUUAUUUAAGAGUCUAAAUUAUCAUUCCUAAUCAAAUUAGGUCUUUCAAAUUAUUUUCCUAUUAGAUUAGG